UCUGGAGGGAAGAAAUCACUUGGGAGAAAAACUGCUUCUGCCUUUCCCUUGCUGAUUAAUUUGCUAGAAGGGCAGGCACAUGUCGAGCACAGGGGUCGAGCAGCUGUGCGUGCCCCACUCUCUCUUUUGAGGAGGUAGCAAAUGACCACAAGACUGGCUGACAUCAGGGACUGGUCAAGAAAACAAGUUCCAGGGCCUCUGGGACAAACAGCUUGUGGCUUCAUUCCCCGAAGCUCAUGUCUGACAUGACAGCACAGCUCUGAGAGUACCUGGUAUUUGGCAGAGAUGCUCUGCAGCUGUACUGGGGGAAAUAAAUGCUUGGAGAGAUAUACAGUGGUCAACCACCCAGAGCUGGCUCUGUUGUGACCACAGGAAGGUGCCUGAGCAGAUGAAACCUGGAGGUCUCCAAGCGUUGUCUUUGCUUCAUCACCAUGCUAAAGUCUCCACCCAAAGUGGGGAUUUGUACUCUGCUAGGUGCAACUGGCGCCAUGUGCAAAGAAGUGUGGAAGACUGCACAUGCCCGGCUGCCCCUGGAAAUCUCCACCCCUUUCCUAGAAUCUGUCUCCUGACCCCGGAAAUUCCCUGACUGCCCUCCCCCUGGGGAGAAGGUGCCUUUAGAGCAUGAGCUCCCCCUCUCCAUUCUCUGGAGGUUGAAUAAAAGUCUGUCUUGCUUGCACCA